CCACUUGAAUCUGCAGACAAUGGUCAGUGAAUAUCGAGAUUUCAACAUGGCUCCUCCAUCUCAAAGCGUUGGUACAAACCAAGAAAAGUUGUUAAAAAAUGCUGCACAACAGAUCCAGAAAAGCAGACUACAGUCUAAAUUCAGGUCAAGAAACGGCUUGGUAUUCGCAGGACUGCUGACUACUGUGUUUGGCGUGUAUGGAUAUACAAUGUUUUCUGUGAGACAAGAAAAAAUAGAUUUUGAUGACUAAGUGUGGAAUCUGAUGGACUGGCUCUCUGGAAAAGGUCUGUGUAAAGGGAUCUUGCGAGAGGAUGUAAAGAACAUUCGAAGGAAGUGUAUCAAUAGACAAACUGACAUUAAAGGGAUGCUUCAACAUAAAUAAAAGAUACUGUAAUCAGAUGACAUUUUAUUAGUUUUCAUUGUUUAGAGUACCUUAGAGAUUGCCAUUAAUUUAUUGUAUUAAAUUCAACUUGGUAGUAAAUAUAUAACAUGCUUUCACAUGUCAUGUACAGAGUAAUGCUUUAUUUAGCUGUUAAUGCUAUAAUGAACCUGUAUGUUCCAUAAAUAAUAUAAAAUAAUUUGACUUCCUCUUGAUAAAUACUAUUUUUUAACUUCUUUUUACAUCACAUAGUCUAAAUCUUCUGAAAUCUGCUAAUAUAUUUAAGAACAAUAUUCACUCAUGAUAAAAAUAGAUAAUUUUUGUUUUGUUCUUCAAAAGAAUGCUAUUGCUACCUAUGUAUGAAUGCCCUAUGAUGAUUUAUAAUUUAUCUAUUUUCCCAAGUUCAAUAGUCCUUCUAAGAGCAGCAUCUACAGCAUCCAUAAGUGUUGCUCGAAGGCCUGCUCUCUCUAAAGAGUGGAUUGCAUAUGCCGUAGAACCCUCAGGGGAACAAACGGAAUCUUUGAGCUCCCCAGGGUGCUUCCCAGUCUCCAAGACAAGCUUGGCAGCGCCCAUUAAAGUAUGUGCAGCAAGGUUUAUUGCAACUUGUCGGGGCAAACCAGCUUUCACUCCACCAUCUGCUAAUGCCUCAAUUGCCAUAAAACACUAAAAUAGAAAUAAAAUGAGAGUUUUAGUA